rnacentral:sRNA from 1 species
GGAUUCAGGGGUAGAGUAUUCUAUUAUGGCUGUGUCCCCAGAUGUAGUAUUUGCUCAAAUCACCCAGAGAACCUCUAUCUUCUUCCACUAAUUCUCCAUGUGUUGCCCUCCCAUAGCAGAGAGCUUGAUCAAAGAUCAUGGUGUUUUCUUUAUGGAGGAGAACUAUAUGUAGUUAGGAAUGUAAAUGCAGUUUCAAUUCCCUUCUAAAGCCUGCCCAUCAGCAGCAAAAUGCCAUUUAUUGAAGUUCUUAGGAAGCAAAUUACAGCUGAGAACUUUUGAGAUCUAUAGUAAUAUAUUCAAUUCUUG